AAGACUAUACUUUCAGGGAUCAUUUCUAUAGUUCUUAACUAGGAAAUGUGUUUUGAAACUGUAGUAUCUUCCAAACCACGAUGAUGAUCUUUGAUGCUCUUUUCUGAGUAUGAAUCUGGUGUAGAGUAAUGAUUUGUUUCAUAAGCUUUACAUCAUUGAUGAACAUUCCUUAUUGCGCCGUUGCAGUAAGGAGGAAAAGGGUAUGUUCAGAGUGGUU
ensembl:snoRNA